rnacentral:sRNA from 1 species
GAAUCAAUUUAUAUGUGC